CUUCCUAAAACCUAAAAGAGCUAUUACUGAGUCUCAGCGAAUCUUGCCAUGAUCAGCUCUUCCCAGAAGAGAAGGAAGACCAAGGAAAUGAUUUGCUCAGGAUGAGGAAUGAAGACGGCCAUCUUGAGCUCAAACAAACAGAAGUCCUCUGAUGAUCUCAUCAGCCAAAUGAGAGGUUUUGACCAAGUGAUGCUCUUGAAAGGAGUGGAUGUGGUAAAUUGUCUUCAGAGAAAAAGCUUCUCAAAAGGUCUUAAAACAGCUUGAAGAAUGGUCUGGGAUGUUAGGACUGAGAGAUCCUCUGGCUGAGAACAAGCUACACCACAUCAGUGCUGGAUAUCAACCACAAACAGUUUCCAGACACGAGAGAAGAAGAAC